AGAGUUUGAUCCUGGCUCAGGAUGAACGCUAGCUACAGGCUUAACACAUGCAAGUCGAGGGGCAGCGGGAUUGAAGCUUGCUUCAAUUGCCGGCGACCGGCGCACGGGUGAGUAACGCGUAUCCAACCUUCCGCUUACUCGGGGAUAGCCUUUCGAAAGAAAGAUUAAUACCCGAUGGUAUCUUAAGCACACAUGAGAUUAAGAUUAAAGAUUUAUCGGUAAGCGAUGGGGAUGCGUUCCAUUAGGCAGUUGGCGGGGUAACGGCCCACCAAACCUACGAUGGAUAGGGGUUCUGAGAGGAAGGUCCCCCACAUUGGAACUGAGACACGGUCCAAACUCCUACGGGAGGCAGCAGUGAGGCAUAUUGGUCAAUGGGCGAGAGCCUGAACCAGCCAAGUAGCGUGAAGGAUGACGGCCCUACGGGUUGUAAACUUCUUUUGUGCGGGAAUAAAGGAGCCUACGUGUAGGCUUUUGCAUGUACCGUAACGAAUAAGCAUCGGCUAACUCCGUGCCAGCAGCCGCGGUAAUACGGAGGAUGCGAGCGUUAUCCGGAUUUAUUGGGUUUAAAGGGAGCGUAGACGGGUUUUUAAGUCAGCUGUGAAAGUUUGGGGCUCAACCUUAAAAUUGCAGUUGAAACUGGAGACCUUGAGUACGGUUGAGGCAGGCGGAAUUCGUGGUGUAGCGGUGAAAUGCUUAGAUAUCACGAAGAACCCCGAUUGCGAAGGCAGCCUGCUAAGCCGCCACUGACGUUGAGGCUCGAAAGUGCGGGUAUCAAACAGGAUUAGAUACCCUGGUAGUCCGCACGGUAAACGAUGGAUACUCGCUGUUGGCGAUAGACGGUCAGCGGCCAAGCGAAAGCGUUAAGUAUCCCACCUGGGGAGUACGCCGGCAACGGUGAAACUCAAAGGAAUUGACGGGGGCCCGCACAAGCGGAGGAACAUGUGGUUUAAUUCGAUGAUACGCGAGGAACCUUACCCGGGCUUGAACUGCAGUGGAAUUAUCCGGAAACGGAUAAGCGAGCAAUCGCCGCUGUGGAGGUGCUGCAUGGUUGUCGUCAGCUCGUGCCGUG
rnacentral:rRNA from 1 species